rnacentral:rRNA from 1 species
GACGAACGCUGGCGGCGUGCUUAACACAUGCAAGUCGAACGGUGACCUCGAGAGCUUGCUCUUGAGUGAUCAGUGGUGAACGGGUGAGUAACACGUGAGUAACCUGCCCCAGACUCUGGAAUAACCCCGGGAAACCGGAGCUAAUACCGGAUACGAAGUAGAGCUGCAUGGCUACUACUUGGAAAGUUUUUCGGUCUGGGAUGGACUCGCGGCCUAUCAGCUUGUUGGUGAGGUAACGGCUCACCAAGGCGACGACGGGUAGCCGGCCUGAGAGGGCAACCGGCCACACUGGGACUGAGACACGGCCCAGACUCCUACGGGAGGCAGCAGUGGGGAAUAUUGCACAAUGGGCGAAAGCCUGAUGCAGCGACGCCGCGUGAGGGAUGACGGCCUUCGGGUUGUAAACCUCUUUCAGCAGGGAAGAAGCGAAAGUGAUGGUACCUGCAGAAGAAGCACCGGCUAACUACGUGCCAGCCGCCGCCGUAAUAC